CUUCCUUCCCCGGCGCCACAUCGCCGGCCACCGCAGACCUCCGGCGCCUCUCCUCCCCUCCGCACCACCUCCGGCCCCUCACCCUCGACCGGUCGACACCCAUCACCCCUCGUGGGAUUUCUCCCCUGCGGCUGACCCCAUAUAGAUCGAGGGAGCACGCCCGCCGUGCUGCCCCUUCUCGCCAGUGGCCAGGCUUCAACAGCCAGCCAGACAUGUCGCGCGCAUGGCCAGGGUAGCUGACGCACUGCACGCCUACGGCGACCACAAAGACGCUGCGCCGGCGAGCCCCAAGCGCAGCUUCGGGGCCCCUUCUUCCACGGGUCCUCCAUGAGGCAGCUCCGCCGCAGCCCCUCGGUCGUCCUCCCCCACAUCGCCACCGGUGACCUCGUCAGCAUCCACCGCGCGCUUGCCGUCCAAGGAGACUUCGGUUUCCUCGAUAAUUAUCGGUGAUGUUUUUUAAACUUCAGGGUCAGAAGAGAAAGGACAGAAUCUGCAUCGUGCUUGCAGAUGAUACAUCUGAGGAGCCAAAGAUCAGAAUGAACAAUUGGAUUGUGAAAUGAUAUAUUUUUGUUUGUUCAGGAAGUUGCUCUAAUUUCUGUCUAUAACUAAAUAAGGAACAAUAGUUCUUUAUGCACAGAGAAACUGGUUGAGAUAUUUAGUAGCUACUAUUACCAUGAUUUUUAUUAUAGCUUGCUAGGUCAUGUAUAGAUGCCAUGUUACUUUACAAGUCAAGUACCUUUUACACUUUAUAUUCUUUAUGCUAACACCAAGCUUGUGUGGUUCUAUAGGUUGUUGAAGUAAGCUGUUUGCUUCCGAAGUUUGCUUACCAUCGUUGAGGUUUGUGCCUUGUUACGAUUAUCUUAGUGAUUUCAGUAAUGUCAUUGUGAUGUAUCUUACACUUGUUCCUGGUUGAACAUGAGAAUUGGUUCCUUAUGGAAGUUAGAUCUGUUCAUUCCUAGUUUACUGUUGGAUGCAAUUUCAUGUGUUCUUUUUUA